rnacentral:rRNA from 1 species
GAUGAACGCUGACAGAAUGCUUAACACAUGCAAGUCUACUUGAUUCUACUUCGGUAGUUGAUGGUGGCGGACGGGUGAGUAACGCGUAAAGAAUCUGCCCUUUAGUUUGGGAUAACCUUUGGAAACGAAGGCUAAUACCGGAUAUUAUGGAGACGUCGCAUGGCGACUUCAUGAAAGCUAUAUGCGCUAGAGGAGGACUUUGCGUCCCAUUAGUUAGUUGGUGAGGUAAUGGCUCACCAAGACCGCGAUGGGUAGCCGGCCUGAGAGGGCGAUCGGCCACAAGGGAACUGAGACACGGUCCUUACUCCUACGGGAGGCAGCAGUGGGGAAUAUUGGACAAUGGGCCACAAGCCUGAUCCAGCAAUUCUGUGUGCACGAUGAAGGUCUUCGGAUUGUAAAGUGCUUUCAGUAGGGAAGAAAAAAAUGACGGUACCUACAGAAGAAGCGACGGCUAAAUAUGUGCCAGCAGCCGCGGUAAGAC